UACGUAGGGGGCAAGCGUUGUCCGGAUUUAUUGGGCGUAAAGAGCGUGUAGGCGGCCAUACAGGUCCGUUGUGAAAACUGGAGGCUUAACCUCCAGACGUCGAUGGAAACCGUAUGGCUAGAGUCCGGAAGAGGAGAGUGGAAUUCCUGGUGUAGCGGUGAAAUGCGCAGAUAUCAGGAAGAACACCAGUGGCGAAGGCGGCUCACUGGCCCGAUACUGACGCUGAGGCACGAAAGCGUGGGGAGCAAACAGG
rnacentral:rRNA from 1 species